GAUGAACGCUGGCGGCGUGCCUAACACAUGCAAGUCGAGCGAACGAAGGAGAACUUUCCCUUCCUGAUGUGAGGGGCGGACGGGUGAGUCACACGAGCAUAACCUACCUAUAAGCCUGAGAUCACUUCGGGAAACCGGAUAUUAUACCAGAUAAUCUUUAGAACCACCUGGUUCAAAAGUGAAAAACUGUCUUGCUGUCUCUUCUAGAUGGCUCUGAGCUGGAUGGGCUAGUUGGUAAGGAAACGGCUUACCACGGCUACGAUGCCUAGGCGACCUGAGAGGAUGAUCGGCCACACUGGAACUGAGACACGGUCCAGACUCCUACGGGAGGCAGCAGUAGGGAAUCUUCGGCAAAGGGCGAAAGCCUGACACAGCCACGCCGCGUGAGUGAUGAAGGUCUUCGGAUCGUAAAGCUCUGUUAUUAGGGAUGAACAUCUGUGAGAUUAAAUGUGGCGAUCUUGACGGUACCUACAGAGAAAGCCACGGCUAACUACGUG
rnacentral:rRNA from 1 species